rnacentral:rRNA from 1 species
AGCGAACGCUGGCGGCAGGCUUAACACAUGCAAGUCGAACGCCCCGCAAGGGGAGUGGCAGACGGGUGAGGAACACGUGGGAACGUACCCUUCAGUUCGGAAUAACUCAGGGAAACUUGUGCUAAUACCGGAUACGUCCGAAAGGAGAAAGAUUUAUCGCUGAAGGAUCGGCCCGCGUCUGAUUAGCUUGUUGGUGAGGUAACGGCUCACCAAGGCGACGAUCAGUAGCUGGUCUGAGAGGAUGAUCAGC